rnacentral:rRNA from 1 species
CUGACCGAUAGUGAACCAGUACCGUGAGGGAAAGGCGAAAAGAACCCCGGCGAGGGGAGUGAAAAAGAACCUGAAACCGUGUACGUACAAGCAGUGGGAGCACAGAGCAAUCUGUGUGACUGCGUACCUUUUGUAUAAUGGGUCAGCGACUUAUAUUCUGUAGCAAGGUUAACCGAAUAGGGGAGCCGAAGGGAAACCGAGUCUUAACUGGGCGUUAAGUUGCAGGGUAUAGACCCGAAACCCGGUGAUCUAGCCAUGGGCAGGUUGAAGGUUGGGUAACACUAACUGGAGGACCGAACCGACUAAUGUUGAAAAAUUAGCGGAUGACUUGUGGCUGGGGGUGAAAGGCCAAUCAAACCGGGAGAUAGCUGGUUCUCCCCGAAAGCUAUUUAGGUAGCGCCUCGUGAAUUCAUCUCCGGGGGUAGAGCACUGUUUCGGCAAGGGGGUCAUCCCGACUUACCAACCCGAUGCAAACUGCGAAUACCGGAGAAUGUUAUCACGGGAGACACACGGCGGGUGCUAACGUCCGUCGUGAAGAGGGAAACAACCCAGACCGCCAGCUAAGGUCCCAAAGUCAUGGUUAAGUGGGAAACGAUGUGGGAAGGCCCAGACAGCCAGGAUGUUGGCUUAGAAGCAGCCAUCAUUUAAAGAAAGCGUAAUAGCUCACUGGUCGAGUCGGCCUGCGCGGAAGAUGUAACGGGGCUAAACCAUGCACCGAAGCUGCGGCAGCGACACUGUGUGUUGUUGGGUAGGGGAGCGUUCUGUAAGCCUGUGAAGGUGUACUGUGAGGUAUGCUGGAGGUAUCAGAAGUGCGAAUGCUGACAUAAGUAACGAUAAAGCGGGUGAAAAGCCCGCUCGCCGGAAGACCAAGGGUUCCUGUCCAACGUUAAUCGGGGCAGGGUGAGUCGACCCCUAAGGCGAGGCCGAAAGGCGUAGUCGAUGGGAAACAGGUUAAUAUUCCUGUACUUGGUGUUACUGCGAAGGGGGGACGGAGAAGGCUAUGUUGGCCGGGCGACGGUUGUCCCGGUUUAAGCGUGUAGGCUGGUUUUCCAGGCAAAUCCGGAAAAUCAAGGCUGAGGCGUGAUGACGAGGCACUACGGUGCUGAAGCAACAAAUGCCCUGCUUCCAGGAAAAGCCUCUAAGCAUCAGGUAACAUCAAAUCGUACCCCAAACCGACACAGGUGGUCAGGUAGAGAAUACCAAGGCGCUUGAGAGAACUCGGGUGAAGGAACUAGGCAAAAUGGUGCCGUAACUUCGGGAGAAGGCACGCUGAUAUGUAGGUGAAGUCCCUCGCGGAUGGAGCUGAAAUCAGUCGAAGAUACCAGCUGGCUGCAACUGUUUAUUAAAAACACAGCACUGUGCAAACACGAAAGUGGACGUAUACGGUGUGACGCCUGCCCGGUGCCGGAAGGUUAAUUGAUGGGGUCAGCGCAAGCGAAGCUCUUGAUCGAAGCCCCGGUAAACGGCGGCCGUAACUAUAACGGUCCUAAGGUAGCGAAAUUCCUUGUCGGGUAAGUUCCGACCUGCACGAAUGGCGUAAUGAUGGCCAGGCUGUCUCCACCCGAGACUCAGUGAAAUUGAACUCGCUGUGAAGAUGCAGUGUACCCGCGGCAAGACGGAAAGACCCCGUGAACCUUUACUAUAGCUUGACACUGAACAUUGAGCCUUGAUGUGUAGGAUAGGUGGGAGGCUUUGAAGUGUGGACGCCAGUCUGCAUGGAGCCGACCUUGAAAUACCACCCUUUAAUGUUUGAUGUUCUAACGUGGACCCGUGAUCCGGGUUGCGGACAGUGUCUGGUGGGUAGUUUGACUGGGGCGGUCUCCUCCUAAAGAGUAACGGAGGAGCACGAAGGUUGGCUAAUCCUGGUCGGACAUCAGGAGGUUAGUGCAAUGGCAUAAGCCAGCUUGACUGCGAGCGUGACGGCGCGAGCAGGUGCGAAAGCAGGUCAUAGUGAUCCGGUGGUUCUGAAUGGAAGGGCCAUCGCUCAACGGAUAAAAGGUACUCCGGGGAUAACAGGCUGAUACCGCCCAAGAGUUCAUAUCGACGGCGGUGUUUGGCACCUCGAUGUCGGCUCAUCACAUCCUGGGGCUGAAGUAGGUCCCAAGGGUAUGGCUGUUCGCCAUUUAAAGUGGUACGCGAGCUGGGUUUAGAACGUCGUGAGACAGUUCGGUCCCUAUCUGCCGUGGGCGCUGGAGAACUGAGGGGGGCUGCUCCUAGUACGAGAGGACCGGAGUGGACGCAUCACUGGUGUUCGGGUUGUCAUGCCAAUGGCACUGCCCGGUAGCUAAAUGCGGAAGAGAUAAGUGCUGAAAGCAUCUAAGCACGAAACUUGCCCCGAGAUGAGUUCUCCCUGACCCUUUAAGGGUCCUGAAGGAACGUUGAAGACGACGACGUUGAUAGGCCGGGUGUGUAAGCGCAGCGAUGCGUUGAGCUAACCGGUACUAAUGAACCGUGAGGCUUAACCUUACAACGCCGAAGGUGUUU